UGGAAGUAACCUUCUUAGAAGUAAAGCCUGU
rnacentral:piRNA from 1 species